CCGGCUGCUUUGUUUACCCAAGCAAGCCUGGGCAAUGGCGGGCGCCCCUCCCCCAGCCUUGCUGCGGCCUUGCAGUUUGAUCUCAGACUGCUGUGCUAGCAAUCAGCGAGACUCCGUGGGCGUAGGACCCUCCUAGCCAGGUGCAAGAUAUAAUCUCGCGGUGCGCCGUUUUUUAAGCCGGUCCGAAAGCGCAAUAUUCGGGUGGGAGAGACCCGAUUUUCCAGUGAGAUGAACCCAGUACCUCAGAUGGAAAUGCAGAAAUCACCCGUCUUCUGCGUCGCUCACGCUGGGAGCUGUAGACCGGAGCUGUUGCUAUUCGGCCAUCUUGGCUCCUCUCCUGCACUGCAAGAAUGGACUAAUACGCUAUGUGAAGACAAAGGGGAUGUCUGCAAGCCAGGACGAGUGCGUCUACCAGAAACUGAGUUCUGCUGGACUUUGAUCUAGGACAUCCAGCCUCCAGAAUGGAAUGUGCCAUAUGUGGAGACCUGCAUGGAAAGGAACUGAGGAUGCUCUCUCACUAAAAGCUAGAAGGAACUGAGGCCCUCAGUCAACAGUCUACAAGACACUGAAUCUUGCCAGCAGCCAAGCAGUGAGCUUGAAAGCAGAUCUAUCAUCAGCUGAACCUUCAGAUGAGACCGCAGCCUAAGCAGAUACCUUGGUUGCAGCCAUGUGAGACAACCUGAAACAGAGGGCACAGCUAAGCCUCAGCCAGGUUCAUGACCCUCUGAGGAAACUAUGGAGAGAGGGGAACCCGAGUCAAGGAAUGCAAAUGGCCUCUGGAAGCUGGAAAAAGCAAGAAAUGGAUUCUCCUUUAGAGCCUGUGGAAUAAAAUGCAGUCAUGCUGACACCUUGAUUUUACCUCAGUGAGACCAAUACUGGAGUAUGACCUUCGGAGCUGAAUAAAAUUAUACGUACACAUCUUAAUUUCUUGGGAUUUGAUUACUUCUUCUGCUUUGAAAUUAGACCAAGUUUAGCCUGCCUUUGCUAUUUUGGCGUAUCUCCAAUUCUUCAUGAUUUUCUCAUCGCAAAGGCCACAUAAGGACAGUGAGAAGGCAGCCACCUGCAAGCCAGGAAGAAAGGUCUCACCAGAUACCAACCCUGCCAGCAUGUUGAUCUUGGACUUCCAGCCUCCAAAACUGGCCUUCUGCUCACAUGGGCUUCCGUGCACCUGCUUCAGGAGACAGCAACACUUGCGCCCGCACCGCGGCAGGCUCCCAUCACCUGGUGGAUAUGCCGCGCCGAGUCUCAUCACACCUUAGUGAAGGAACACAUGGACCCAUAUGUUAGCGGAUGUAUUUACAUCGUUUUAUACAGAAAGGGGAAAUGGAGUCUUGCUCUGUCACACAUGCUAGAGUCCAGUGGUAUGACCUCAGCUCACUGCAAUCUCUGCCUCCCGGGUUCAAAUGAUUCUUCUGCCUUGACCUCCCUGGCAGCUGGGACUACAGGCCUGCACCACCACGCCUGGCAAAUUUUUUAAUUUUUUUUAGUAGAGAUGGGGUUUCACCAUGUUGGCCAGGCUAGUCUCGAACUCCUGACCUCAAAUGAUCUGCCCGCUUUGGCCUUCCAAAGUUCUGGGAUUAUAGGAGUGAGCCACCAUGCCCAGCCUGUUCUUAAGUCUCCUAGAACAGGGAUUCUGAAACACAAAACUCAUCUGGCAAAGAGUUCUAAGAUGCAUUUCACAGCACUCCACAGAAGGAAGGUUCAGAGCCAAUCAUCUGCACCAGUGCCCAACUUAAAAACAUCCUUGUAUCAGUUUUCCCUUAUUUCCUGUUCUCCUCCCUAAACCUUCAGUCCUGUUCCUGGCAAUCACUUCCAGAAUAAACCAUAUACAUGCCUCAGAUUCUGAUCUCAGAGGAUCCCAGACUAAUACAGAGAUACACUAUGCUGAUUGCUUAACCCGCAUUUUCUCAUUUAAUUGAAACAUAUACGUGGUAAGGUAUUUAUUCAUACCUGCAUGAUUUUGUAGAUAAACCUUAGAGAAAUUAAUACUUUUCAGAAGGCAAUUAAAGUAACACAGCAAGCAAUUGAUAAAACCUGGAUUCGCCAAGUUAAACUGGUCUGGUUUCAAAACCUGUAUUGUUUCCUAACAUACCACCUAAAUUCUCAAAUGGUAUUGGAAGGGGUUAAAUGAGAUUAUAAAUGUAAAAUUCUUGGUAUAGUUAAUUCUCAAAAAUAGGCCUUCAAUCUAUAGAAUCCAUUUGUAGAACUAUCUUCAGGAAGGAAAAAUACAUCACCCUCCACCCCACCCUCAAAGAAACAUGGAAAAUUUAAACUAAGACUUCAAAUCUUGAGCUCUGCACAUCUUAGAAUAUUUUGUUUCUAUGAAAAAGAAGCUUUGGAGAAUGUGUAUCAGUCUGAAACACUGUAGUGUGAGCACAGAAAUCAGCCCAUCACAUUAUGCCCCAAAUGCUGAAGUACGGCUGAAUCUGAUUGCCCUGCAUUUUUAAGUACUGCAAAAUUCUGGGACUUGGGAUCAUCUGUUACUACAGACUUGUCAUAUUCCACUGAAAUAAAACAUAUAGUCUAAUUUGCAAAGUUCUCGUGUGGAAAGAGUCCUAAAAUGUAUAUAACCUCUGUCCCAGCAAUUCCAUUAGGAAUUUAUCCAAUCCAAAAUCUAAAAUGCAGAAGAUCUACAUAUUGAAUGCUUAUGGCAGCAUUCUUUAAAAUUAUGAAAAUUGAAAGCAACCAAAAUCCUCAAAAACAGACUAAUGGCUAAGUAGUAUAACCAUACUAUGAAAUGUGGUAAUUGAAUAUUCAAAUUUGUGUUGUAUAAAAAAUUAAUAAUGGUAUAACAUUUGGCUAUAAAAUAGAAUGAAUUCAAUUGUAUUUUUUAAACCAGUACAUCUGCAUAUUUGUGAACCUAAAAGAUAAGACGGUAAAUAUUUAACUGUAUUUUUCUUUAAUUGUUGGGGCUGUGAAUUAUUUUAAUUUUCUUAAUGCUUUUUAAUCUUCUCUGAAAAUUUUAUAAUAAUCUCUAAUAAUAAUUUAUAGCAAAAAAACCCAAAAUUUUAAAGGGUAUUCUUUUUGUAUUUUUAUCAAGAAUAAAAAUAUAUAUCAAU
rnacentral:lncRNA from 1 species